rnacentral:lncRNA from 1 species
CAGCUUCCUCUCCUCAUCAUAGAAUGUUGGCUUCGUAUAAUCGUCCCCUAAUCUGCCCAGCCUCAGAAGAAAACAACUUAGCCUCUUUUAGCGACCACGGCAUAACUAUGCUCUCCAGCAAAACUGUUCGUGCAGAGCAAGCACAGCAUCCUUUGGAAGAUUAGCGAUUCCUCAAAAGAAGUCAGAAGACAGAUUUUCACAUUCAAUUCCAACCUGUGUGGUUUGAAGGCCGUGAAACUUUCAACAACAAUAUAAAUACUGCAUGUGUCUCUCUCUCCCGAGGCUGGAUUUUACCGACUGUUAUGUGAAAGGCCAAUUGUAUAAGCAGGUGUAGGUCUGAGUUGAAAGGAUUUGAUGGCAUUAAUCUCCCUUUAAGAGGUCUUGUUUUCAUGGGCUGUUGUCAAACAUAACUGAGUCGUUCUGUGACUAUAACUGCAGUUAUCUGUCCCUUGUUAUAGAGAGUUGCCCUAGCUUUUGAGGGAAUUUCUGCAUGACUUUUCCAAAGAAUGUUUCAAUGUUCUCUAUAGGGAGAGGCAGUAUGGCAGUGUGAGACAAAUAUAGUCUCUGCGGGCAGGCAUACCCUGGGUUUAAAUGUUGGUUUGCAGGAUCUGUGUUGCUUCACUAAAUUCAUGAAAAUUCUCUGAGUCACAGCUUCCUGUAUACAAAAUGAGGACAAUAAUAGCUGAGGUUUAAGUGAGGUUAUGCAUGAAAAAUACUUAGCAUGGUCAUUGGAAUAGAAGUUCAAUACAUGAUAAAUAUUAUUCCUCCAAUUGACCAAAUAUAUGCCACGAUUUCAUGGUCCUUGCCACUGAAGUUCAGACAUCAUGAAUAUUAGCUAUGGACAUUAAACAGUUAUCUUCCUAAUUCCAAAAUACUAAACACGUUAAUUUCUAGACUAGAGAGAUGAUUACCUGGGGCUAAGUCAAAAUUAGCUCUGAUAGUUGUGAAGUCAUAACC